UUUGAUUUAGGUUUUUGACUUGUAUGAAUGCUUUAGAAUAGUAGAGUUUGUCUGAUUCGAUCAUACCUAACCGCGGGGGGAGGCGGGAUACUGCGAAGUGGAAAGUUUAUUUAGGGCGGAUGCUUUCUAAAGAGUGCAAAGGUAGGCUCAAGCUAAAGUUUUGUUCUGAGUAUAAUGGUAUAAGCCUGCCAGAUUGUGAGACCAACUGGUCGAACAGAAACGAAAGUUGACUAUAAUGAUCCGGGAGUCCCGUGUGAAGGGCUCUCGCUCAACGAAUCAAAA
rfam:Nicotiana attenuata strain TT chromosome 1, whole genome shotgun sequence.